CUGGCUGGCUCAGCAGGCAGUUCUAAAGUGGGAUCUGCCCAUGGAGCAGGAGGGUGGCAAACCUGCAGUGCCCAGCUGGCUUUGCUCACCUUGUC